rnacentral:rRNA from 2 species
UAAUAUUUAAAUUCAGAGGGUACACCUUGUCACAUGCCGAACCAAGCAGUUAAGUUCUGAAACUCAAAAGAUACUUUUUCAUUAGGGAAAAUAUGAUAUGUUAACGA